GUAGGGAAUAUUGCGCAAUGGACGAAAGUCUGACGCAGCGACGCCGCGUGAGUGAUGAAGGCCUUAGGGUCGUAAAGCUCUGUUGAAUGGGAAGAAAAAAAUGACGGUACCAUUCGAGGAAGGACCGGCUAACUUCGUGCCAGCAGCCGCGGUAAUACGAGGGGUCCUAGCGUUGUUCGGAAUCAUUGGGCGUAAAGGGUGUGUAGGUGGCCAUGUAAGUCAGGUGUGAAAGCCCCGGGCUCAACCCGGGAAGUGCACUUGAUACUGCGUGGCUUGAGUACCGAAGAGGGUAGUGGAAUUCCAGGUGUAGUGGUGAAAUACGUAGAUAUCUGGAGGAACACCGGUGGCGAAGGCGGCUACCUGGUCGAGUACUGACACUGAGACACGAAAGCAUGGGGAUCAAACAGGAUUAGAAACCCCGGUAGUCC
rnacentral:rRNA from 1 species